rnacentral:rRNA from 1 species
AUUGAACGCUGGCGGCAUGCUUUACACAUGCAAGUCGAACGGCAGCGCGGGCUUCGGCCUGGCGGCGAGUGGCGAACGGGUGAGUAAUACAUCGGAACGUGCCCAGGAGUGGGGGAUAGCUCGGCGAAAGCCGGAUUAAUACCGCCUACGACCUGAGGGUGAAAGCGGGGGAUCUUUGGACCUCGCGCUAUUGGAGCGGCCGAUGGCAGAUUAGCUAGUUGGUGGGGUAAAGACCUACCAAGGCGACGAUCUGUAGCUGGUCUGAGAGGACGACCAGCCACACUGGGACUGAGACACGGCCCAGACUCCUACGGGAGGCAGCAGUGGGGAAUUUUGGACAAUGGGCGAAAGCCUGAUCCAGCAAUGCCGCGUGUGUGAUGAAGGCCUUCGGGUUGUAAAGCACUUUUGGCGGGAACGAAAAGGACUGUGCCAAUACCACGGUUCGAUGACGGUACCCGCAGAAUAAGCACCGGCUAACUACGUG